UACGUAGGGGGCUAGCGUUGUCCGGAAUCAUUGGGCGUAAAGGGUGCGUAGGCGGCGCGGUAAGUCGGGUGUGAAAUCUCGGAGCUUAACUCCGAAACUGCAUUCGAUACUGCCGUGCUUGAGGACUGGAGAGGAGACUGGAAUUUACGGUGUAGCGGUGAAAUGCGUAGAUAUCGUAAGGAAGACCAGUGGCGAAGGCGGGUCUCUGGACAGUUCCUGACACUGAGACACGAAGGCCAGGGGAGCAAACGGG
rnacentral:rRNA from 1 species